rnacentral:rRNA from 1 species
CCACGGGACACGAGGAACCCUGUGGGAAUCUGGGAGGACCACCUCCUAAGGCUAAAUACUCUUUGCCACCGAUAGUGAACCAGUACCGUGAGGGAAAGGUGAAAAGCACCCCGGGAGGGGAGUGAAAUAGUACCUGAAACCAUGUCGCUUACAAACAGUCGGAGGACUAUGCUCCGGUUUACCGGAGAAUGUCUGACGGCGUGCCUUUUGCAUAAUGAGCCGGCGAGUUAAUCUGUGUUGCGAGGUUAAGUCCUUCAGGGACGGAGCCGCAGCGAAAGCGAGUCCGAACAGGGCGCAUGCGGCCUUUGGCCGCCAGUAGCACGGAUUAGACCCGAAACCGGGUGAUCUACCCAUGGCCAGGAUGAAAUCGCGGUAACACGCGACGGAGGUCCGAACCAGUGUCGGUUGAAAACGGCUUGGAUGAGCUGUGGGUAGGGGUGAAAUGCCAAUCGAACCCGGAGAUAGCUGGUUCUCCUCGAAAUGCAUUUAGGUGCAGCGUCACGCGUUCUGUGCUGCAGGUAGAGCUCUGAAUGGGCUAGGGGCCCCACCAGGUUACCGAACUCAAUCAAACUCCAAAUGGCAGCACAUAAGAGCGUGGCAGUGAGACUAUGGGGGAUAAGCUUCAUAGUCAAAAGGGAAACAGCCCAGACCACCGGCUAAGGUCCCGGAGUGUCAGCUAAGUGUGAAAGGAUGUCAGGUUGCGUAAACAACCAGGAUGUUGGCUUAGAAGCAGCCAUCAUUUAAAGAGUGCGUAAUAGCUUACUGGUCGAAAGCAACUUGGCGCCGACAAUGUAAGGGGGCUCAAGCUGACCACCGAAGCCGUGGACGGCGCGCAAGCGCCGUGGUAGAGGAGCGUUGUCUGAGGAGCGAAGCGGCAGCGUAAGCAGCCGUGGACUUCAGACAAGUGAGGAUGCCGGCAUAAGUAGCGAAAAGAGAAGUGAGAAUCUUCUCCGCCGAAAGCCUAAGGGUUCUUAAGGAAGGUUCGUCCUCUUGAGUUUAGCCGGGCCUAAGCCGAGGCGUUUAGCGUAGGCGAUGGACAUCUGGUUGAUAUUCCAGAGCCUGGGACUCGCGUUAUCACCGAAGGGGGGACACGGAUCCGCGUUCCAAGCACGGGGUUGGUAGACCGUGUUCUUGCGUGGGGCCGCCGGACAGGCAAAUCCGUCCGGCAUACAGGUCUGGCGCGAGACUAAGCAGCGUGGAGACACAAAGCCGAGUGGAGCAAGGGUCCGUCGAGAAAAGCCUCUAGGGAGUGAGUCCUGGACCGUACCGCAAACCGACACAGGUAGGUGGGUAGAGGAUACUAAGGCGGGCGAGAUAACUCUCGUUAAGGAACUAGGCAAGUUGACCCCGUAACUUCGGGAGAAGGGGUGCCCUGGCGGGACGCGGAUUCGACGCCGCGGAUUCGCUGGGGUCGCAGUGACAAGGCUCGAGCGACUGUUUAACAAAAACACAGGUCUCUGCUAAGUCGAAAGACGAUGUAUAGAGGCUGACGCCUGCCCAAUGCCAGACGGUUAACAGGAGGGGUCAUCCGCAAGGAGAAGCCCUGAAUCGAAGCCCUGGUGAAUGGCGGCCGUAACUAUAACGGUCCUAAGGUAGCGAAAUUCCUUGUCGGGUAAGUUCCGACCUGCACGAAUGGCGUAACGACUUGAGCGCUGUCUCAACGAGAGACUCGGUGAAAUUGUAGCACCGGUGAAGAUGCCGGUUACCCGCAUCAGGACGGAAAGACCCCGUGGAGCUUUACUACACCUUGGUAUUGAGUUUUGGAAUAGCAUGUAGAGCAUAGGUGGGAGGGCGCAAGCCCGCCAGUGGAAUACCACCCUUGCUAUUUCGAAAUUCUAACCCUGGCCGUUAUCCGGUCCGGGGACAGUAUCAGGCGGGUAGUUUGACUGGGGCGGUCGCCUCCUAAAAGGUAACGGAGGCGUCCAAAGGUUCCCUCAGGCUGGUUGGAAAUCAGCCGUAGAGUAUAAGGGCAUAAGGGAACUUAACUGUGAGACCGACGGGUCGAGCAGAUGCGAAAGCAGGGCCUAGUGAUCCUACAGCUAAGUGUGGAAUUGCUGUGGCUCAUCGGAUAAAAGCUACCCCGGGGAUAACAGGCUUAUCUUGCCCAAGCGCUCACAGCGACGGCAAGGUUUGGCACCUCGAUGUCGGCUCGUCGCAUCCUGGGGCUGGAUUAGGUCCCAAGGGUUAGGCUGUUCGCCUAUUAAAGCGGUACGCGAGCUGGGUUCAGAACGUCGUGAGACAGUUCGGUCCCUAUCCGAUGCGGGCGCAGGAAGCUUGAGGGGGGCUGUCCCUAGUACGAGAGGACCGGGAUGGACGAACCUCUGGUGUACCAGUUGUGCCGCCAGGCGCAGACGCUGGGUAGCCACGUUCGGUUGUGAUAAGAGCUGAAAGCAUCUAAGCUCGAAGCACGCCCCGAGAUGAGGCUUCCCAAAGGGGAGCGAUCCCUGAGUAAGGUCCCAGGUAGAUUACCUGGUCGAUAGGCCGCAGGUGUAAGGAUGGUAACAUCUUCAGCUUAGCGGUACUAAUAGACCGAGGGCUUGACCAAAU